AUUGAACGCUGGCGGCAUGCUUUACACAUGCAAGUCGAGCGGCAGCGCGGGGGCAACCCUGGCGGCGAGCGGCGAACGGGUGAGUAAUGCAUCGGAACGUAUCCUGUAGUGGGGAAUAACUCACCGAAAGGUGAGCUAAUACCGCAUAAGCUCUGAGGAGGAAAGCGGGGGACCGAAAGGCCUCGCGCUGCAGGAGCGGCCGAUGUCCGAUUAGCUAGUUGGUGAGGUAAAGGCUCACCAAGGCGACGAUCGGUAGCUGGUCUGAGAGGAUGAUCAGCCACACUGGGACUGAGACACGGCCCAGACUCCUACGGGAGGCAGCAGUGGGGAAUUUUGGACAAUGGGGGAAACCCUGAUCCAGCCAUGCCGCGUGAGUGAAGAAGGCCUCGGUUG
rnacentral:rRNA from 1 species